rnacentral:lncRNA from 1 species
CUCACCAGCUUUUCUUCUUCAACGCUGACCCCCGCUCACCAACAGUGGCUUCCUGAAUUGCUGGGUUAAGCAGGAUUCUGAGGAAAAGUGUGUCAACCCUUGCCCUAGGCCACUGAGUACAUGGGAGAAAGCAAAGGGAGCCCCUUGGCCACCGAAUAAAGUGGAAGUCUUUACCACGGCACUUAAGAAAUCUACAAAUAGCCUCGAUCCUCAUUUUCAAGGUUAUGCCCUACUCACUCAUCUCAUACCAAAGUCAAUCUCAAAAAUCCAUCUACCAUCAUUGUGAGCAGCACUAAAUCCAUAUGGGCCUGCAGCAACUUGAUUCUUACCUCCUCGGAGGAAAGAAUUCAGCCAAGGGGCAUAAGGCAGAGUGAAAGUCCAGGGCAAGUUUUAGAGCAGGAGUAAAAGUUUAUUAAAAAGUUUGAGAGCAGGAACAAAAGGAAGUGCACUUGGAAGAAGACCAAGGGGGUGACUUGAGAGACCCAAGGGUGUUGUCCAGCCUUUGAC